AGCGAGUCAGAAAAAGAACAUCGCCCGAUCCCUAGUCGGCAUAGUUUACGGUUAAGACUACGACGGUAUCUGAUCGUCUUCGAUCCCCUAACUUUCGUUCACUGAUUAAUGAAAACAUCCUUGGCAAAUGCUUUCGCAGUAGUUAGUCUUCAAUAAAUCCAAGAAUUUCACCUCUGACAAUUGAAUACUGAUGCCCCCGACUGUCCCUAUUAAUCAUUACGGCGGUCCUAGAAACCAACAAAAUAGGACCGCACGUCCUAUUCUAUUAUUCCAUGCUAACGUAUUCGAGCAAAGGCCUGCUUUGAACACUCUAAUUUUUUCAAAGUAAAAGUCCUGGUUCCCCAACACACCCAGUGAAGGGCAUGAGGUUCUCCAGAAGGAAAGGCCCGGCCGGACAAGUACACGCGGUGAGGCGGACCUGCCAGCCAGGCCCAAGUUUCAACUACGAGCUUUUUAACUGCAACAACUUUAAUAUACGCUAUUGGAGCUGGAAUUACCGCGGCUGCUGGCACCAGACUUGCCCUCCAAUUGUUCCUCGUUAAGAGGUUUAAAUUGUACUCAUUCCAAUUACAAGACCCAAAAGAGCCCUGUAUCAGUAUUUAUUGUCACUACCUCCCCGUGUCGGGAUUGGGUAAUUUGCGCGCCUGCUGCCUUCCUUGGAUGUGGUAGCCGUUUCUCAGGCUCC
rnacentral:rRNA from 1 species